UUUCCCUUCACUCUGAAAAGUUUCUCAGGUUCCUAGGAGUUUCUGUGCACUCAUUUGAAUGAAGAAUGUGAAGUACAGGGAGUGUGUGGACUCAGCUGUCCUCUCACGCUGCUUUGGACCCAGAGGAAGGAACAUCUGCAAACACCUGCUUGUCCUGUAUCUGCAGGAGGAGCUGGCUGAACUGAUGCUGCCAGGCCCUGAGAAUAGGGGAGCCUCGGAUUGUGAAAGAAUGCAAGAAUGUGGGUUCAGGAGCUGAACGACAGCUUCUUACAUGAACCACGGGCAUCAGACGAAGCAAGUCCAGCACAGAUGAAGCAAGUUACCAGUGUAGUUUUACUUCAUUUUUAUUUUACUGUACUUUAAUAGAAGUUCUUGCUCUUCCUUCUUCUUCAUCACCCUUGUUGUCAUCGUCCUCACAAACACUCAUGAGAGCAAGUUAAGUCUCAAAUAGGCAAACCAGAAAUACAGAAAAACCAUAAAAAGUACUCAAGAACAGAAAGCUGGUGGAGAU
rnacentral:lncRNA from 1 species